CCUCGGUUUCGUCUGCGACAAUGCCCCUCACCUAUUCUCUUCUUCAAUCUUCUUUUCUUCACCAAAAAAUUACACCAAAUACAACCAUAAAAGUACCCAUUCAUGAUGAGGAAUUUGGGGUUUUGAGUGAAAGAGCUUCUGAGAUAAUUUUUUGGAGUCAAAGUUUGCGCUAUGAGAAAAUGGAGGAGUAACCACCUCUUCUGAAUUGCUCUUUGGAUGUUAUUGAGGUAUACCCACACCCUAUAGAUAAUAUUAUAACACAUUUUAGAAUUAAGCAGAAUUAUUUUUAGGGCCUUAGUUACAUAUAUGGGAAUUUUAUGGUUGCUCAUGGGUAGUAUGUCAAAAGGGUAAUAAAUACUGAAGGUUUGAAGUUGAUUCUGUGUUCAGAUUUGACGGCAAGUGGAUCGUUCGGUGGUCGUAGGAUUGCUGAAAGCAAUCAUGGAUAUUCUUCAUAGUUGUGAGUGGUUUUCAAUCAUUGUGGCAUAAUUUUAUUACUCUAUAAUUGCUAUUUUUUAUUACUUUGGAUAUAUUACCUAUUCAUUUGAAAAUUUGGGGAAACAUGCAUUUAAAGUUCUCCAAUUAUUCCAUACUUGAGUUUUAUUAUUAAGAGGAUUUUGAGUAUGUUUUAUGAACUGAUAUGAGAAGAGAAUUACAUUGGUUUAAUUUUGAAACUAUGUGAAAUUGAGAUUGUGAACUUGAAAAGCUUUGAUGAGCAUUGAAAUUUGAUGUUGAGAUUGUUGAUUAGAUUUGAUAUGGUUUGAGAAAAUGGUUUUGGGGAUCCUUGAUAGAACCCCGUAGCCGUUAGCGGAGGGAACAGCCUAGGUGCACCUAGCUAGUUUGAUUCCGGGAGGAGAGGGCUAUCCGUUAGAUGGAGCCGCUAGUGCACGGAGAGGGCUAUCAACGAGAUGUAGCUUCCCCCGAUGAUAUGAUAUGAUACGACAUGUGAUAUGAGAGAGGAAAGGGUUAUCCACUAGAUGGAGCCACCCCUAUCGGAGAGGCCAUCCCUUAGGAGGAGAGGGCUAUCAGCGAGAUGGAGCCGCCUCAUGGUUCUACAUGUGUGACCCUAUUAAUUAUAUUUCUGGUUUUAUGUUUUUCAUAUCUGGACAUGAUUUUAACUGUAUUUAUUUGAAAUGGUUAUUUAUGAACUUUAUGAUUUUUGUCAAGUUCAUUGUUGAAAUGAUUUAAAUUGGUAUUAUGGAUGAUAUAGAUUGUUUGUACUGAGUUGAGAGAGGAAAACUCGUGCCUAUUCUGUUUCCUCUUCCUGUUCAUGGUGGUUGUUGACUGCUCACUAAGUCUUUGUGACUUACCUCAUUCCUUAUUUUCCCUCCACAGAUUUUCAGGCAACUAAGUAGCAGACUGUUGUCAGUUUCAGAUCAUUCAGCUUAUUUCCUUUGGCAGGUUGUCACAUUGGUGUCUUUUAUUUAAUCUUGGUUAUCUGCAGCUAUAGGGAGUCCUAGGUGGAUUUAAAUUUGGGGUUGUUAUUUUUUAUUUUAUUUUUAAGAGUUGGAACUUGA
rnacentral:lncRNA from 1 species